rnacentral:misc_RNA from 1 species
UAUGAAGAACGUAGCGAAAUGCGAUAAGUAAUGUGAAUUGCAGAAUUCAGUGAAUCAUCGAAUCUUUGAACGCACAUUGCGCCCGCCAGUAUUCUGGCGGGCAUGCCUGUUCGAGCGUCAUUUCAACCAUCAAGCCCCCGGGCUUGUGUUGGGGACCUGCGGCUGCCGCAGGCCCUGAAAACCAGUGGCGGGCUCGCUAGUCACUCCGAGCGUAGUAGUUACAUCUCGCUCAGGGCGUGCUGCGGGUUCCGGCCGUUAAAAGCCUUUUACCCCAAGGUUGACCUCGGAUCAGGUAGGAAGACCCGCUGAACUUAAGCAUAUCAAUAAGCGGAGGA